rnacentral:rRNA from 1 species
AUUGAACGCUGGCGGCAUGCUUUACACAUGCAAGUCGAACGGUAACAGGCCUUCGGGUGCUGACGAGUGGCGAACGGGUGAGUAAUGCAUCGGAACGUGCCCAGAGGUGGGGGAUAACGCAGCGAAAGCUGUGCUAAUACCGCAUGUGAUCUGAGGAUGAAAGCGGGGGACCAAGCAGCAAUGUUUGGCCUCGCGCCUCUGGAGCGGCCGAUGUCAGAUUAGGUAGUUGGUGGGGUAAAGGCCUACCAAGCCGACGAUCUGUAGCUGGUCUGAGAGGACGACCAGCCACACUGGGACUGAGACACGGCCCAGACUCCUACGGGAGGCAGCAGUGGGGAAUUUUGGACAAUGGGCGCAAGCCUGAUCCAGCAAUGCCGCGCGCGGGAAGAAGGCCUUCGGGUUGUAAACCGCUUUUGUACGGAACGAAAAGGCUCUGGCUAAUACCUGGGGCUGAUGACGGUACCGUAAGAAUAAGCACCGGCUAACUACGUG